UACGAAGGGUGCAAGCGUUACUCGGAAUUACUGGGCGUAAAGGGUGCGUAGGUGGUUGUUUAAGUCUGCUGUGAAAGCCCCGGGCUCAACCUGGGAAUGGCAGUGGAUACUGGACAGCUAGAGUGCGGUAGAGGGUAGUGGAAUUCCCGGUGUAGCAGUGAAAUGCGUAGAGAUCGGGAGGAACACCAGUGGCGAAGGCGGCUACCUGGACCAGCACUGACACUGAAGCACGUAAGCGUGGGGAGCAAACAGG
rnacentral:rRNA from 1 species